rnacentral:misc_RNA from 1 species
GAUGAAGAACGCAGCGAAAUGCGAUACUUGGUGUGAAUUGCAGAAUCCCGUGAACCAUCGAGUCUUUGAACGCAAGUUGCGCCCGAAGCCAUUAGGCCGAGGGCACGCCUGCCUGGGCGUCACACGUCGUUGCCCCCCCAUCUACUCCUUCGGGAUUGCGGGGGGCGGAUGAUGGCCUCCCGUGCGCCUCGCCGCGCGGUUGGCAUAAAUGCCAAGUCCUCGGCGACGCACGCACGACAAUCGGUGGUUGCGAAACCUCGGUUGCCCGUCGUGUGCGGUCGUCGCGCAUCGAGGGCUCGAAAAAAUUGCCGGGUUCCGGCUCGGCUUUCAACGCGACCCCAGGUCAGGCGGGGUUACCCGCUGAAUUUAAGCAUAUCAAUAAGCGGAGGA